GACGAACGCUGGCGGCGUGCUUAACACAUGCAAGUCGAGCGGUAAGGCCCUUUCGGGGGUACACGAGCGGCGAACGGGUGAGUAACACGUGGGUGACCUGCCCUCAGCUCUGGGGAUAAGCCUGGGAAACUGGGUCUAAUACUGGAUAUGACUCCACGGUGCAUGUCGUGGGGUGGAAAGCCUUGUGCGGCUGAGGAUGGGCCCGCGGCCUAUCAGCUUGUU
rnacentral:rRNA from 1 species